UCUCUGGAUAUAAAACAUCAGUGAUCCUAAGUACUGAAUCUACUGUACUUAGCUUAUUCAUCUAUUUCAUCUGUACUUUGUUCAUUAUGGUUAAUUACUGUAUGUUCCUAGGCCUACAACUUAACUGUUUUCUUCCUUUCAUUGAUCAUUUUGAAUAGUUACAAGGUAUACUUUUUUUGUCACUCUUAGAAUGUCAAAGCAAAGAAAAGGUAUUAGAAAACAAGUGUUGGAACUUGAAUUACUAUUUCCUAAAUGCUUAAAUUUAAAUUAUACAAUGUUUAGAUUUGUCCCUUAUGCAGUACUUCAAUGAAAAUUGUUUUUAUAUUAGGAAGAAUGUAUAUAAUGCCCUAUGGUUUCUACAAAGAAUACUGAAGAACACACACAAAAGCAAACAACGAGCCAAAAUGUGACAUUACCCUCCGUCCCCCAAAAAAGAGAUGAGUAUUAAUGGCUGUAUUGGAGGAAAUCGCAAGCCAAACAGUAAAAGAUUAAAAAAAGAAAAAAAAGAAAAAAAAGAGACACACAAGGACCAAACUAUAUAAAGCAAACAUUUGUCAGUGAUCAUUUACAUAUACGAGCAAUAAAUUAAAAGAGCAGAAGUAACCAGGAAAACAAAAACAAAAAAACAGGUUGGCAGUAAAAGAUUGAGAAAAAGGGCCCUUCCAUGCAAAUGUAACACAAAGUGAAUUAGGGCAGAGAGCAAGAUAUAUAUCAGGUUUGGGAAAGGGGUAGAGACUUUAAAAAUUAGUACUUAGAGGAAACAAGGAAUAUUAUGUGGGGAUUAGUCAACUGACUAAGGCAACAUAACAGUAUUUACAAAGCUGUAAAUAUCAAAGCUCCAAAAGAAUAUAAUGUAACCAUUAACAAAACUGAAAGAAAAAAAUUGAAGUUCAAGGACUUUUUUGAAUACAUAUGUUUAUGGCCAGCCAAGGCUACAUGAAAACCCUACCUCAACAAAGAGCUUAAAUAACUCCAAGAAGGAAACAUUCACUUUGUGUCAAAUUACUGAUAACCAAGCCCACUAUUUUGAUAUGAGUUUGAGAAUCUACUGUUUCCACUUAAAACGUUUUCUGUAAUUAUAACAGGUAGAGUAUGUCAAGCUGAAACAAAAGUCAGUAGACAAUAGUUCGAAUAAAUAGAAAUAACAGGAAAGGUCAUUAGGUAAUAAUCUGCCUGUACGUGGGGUUUCACCGUUUUUCAUUGAUUCAAGAAAACUUGUAGCAAUUAUAGAUAAGUUGUGUGCAUAAUAUAUGAGUAUAAUUAUGUAUUGGUAUGUGGGAUCAGAGCUAGAAUUGUUGUAUAUAAUAUUAAAAUUAAACUGAUCUCCAGGCUCGAUGAUUUUAAUGUUUUUAUUGUAUGCCAAACAGUAAAUAAACAAAAGUAUUUAUAUAAAAUUGUAUUUUCACUUAAAAAAGAGUAAGUAUAGAUCACCAUUUUUUCUAAAAAUGAACAAAAGGUUUAAGUAUUAUGAAUAUCCUCAAUCUUCACAAAAUGUUUGUAAUCUUCAAUUUUAAAAUUAACUUUCAGGUAUAAGAUAAAGACUAAAAGAGCAAGUAGGUUUUUGGUUCAACCAAAUCAUAGGCAUCUGAUAAAGAUCCAGUGUAUGGAAUAGCUGUGUCACAUGGUAAUUCUGCAGCAAAAACAGUCGAGUCCAACAAUGAACCAAGCAAAAACUUCUAAACGGUUAGAUGCUAAAGCAUACAUAUACUUAGUGGCAUGAACUUGAAAGGAUGCUCUCCUUUACUAUUCCUUAGUUGAGUGCAAAUUACAUCCAAAAUCAGAUGCUUUAUUAUGCCCACUAAAUGGCCUUUCUCUUCAAAGAUGAAAUAUAUUGGUAAGUAUGGAAAAAUAUAGAAUGUUUAUGACUAAUAUGAGUGUAAAAUCAUGCUGAUAUGGAAAGAAGAAGUUGGUGGUUCCUCAGUAAACUAAAGAGAAUCGGUAUGACUUGAUUAUUUGCCUAGCAAGUAUAUCACCAAAUGAACUGAAGUAUUCAAACAAAAGCUUUCCACAUUUUUUUAAAAAUUCUUUUUGUGCUUUUUAAAAAAGGUGUAUUUAUUGUAGUUGUCUCCAGACAUACCAGAAGAGGGCACUGGAUCCUAUUACAGAUGGUUAUGAGCCACCAUGUGGUUGCUGAGAAUUGAACUCAGAACCUCUGGAAGGGCAGUCAGUGCUCUUAACCACUGAUCCAUCUCUCCAGCGCAGAACGGUUGGCACUCUUAACCACUGAGCCAUUUCUCCAGCAGUCUUUCUACCAACUUUUAAAAGCCACACUCUUGAAAAUAGUCACCAUGUAAAGACAUACAAAAUAUCCACCAACUAAUUUAUAAGCAAAACUGUAUAUGUAUGCAGUUUGAUAGCUAGUGAAUGAAUUGGAUAAAUAAGCAUGUAAGUUUUACUAUGGACCCCAAUACCAACUAGGCAUGACAUAAAAACCUUUAUUGAUCAGAAUAGUAUGACCUCUGAAGCAAGACCCUCCUGUGAUUUGAGCUGCAACAGUUUACUCAUAUCACAUAAGAAUAUGUAGCAACUGCCAGAUGGAAUUGGUCUGUGUUCUCUUACACACUACUGGAUGACUACAAGGGGCUUGGUGGCAAUGGAACUUGGGCAUAUUUUAGUGCUGUUUUAGCAUCAGUACCUCUAGGUUUUGAGUGCUUCUCAAAUCUCUGCCUGUAUCAAUAGCCACAGGAUUCUAGUCCAGCAUUGUGCUAGCCAGUGUAGAGUUGGAGUGAGAGAAUUCCCUAGUGUUUCAAAGGCUGUGUUGGUCAUGGGCUCAAAGGUUGUGGCACUCUGUCCAGGGUCUUUGAACAGGCAUUUUCCAAAGGAAGACUGAAAAAACUUGGAAUGAGUAUCUACUUUAGUACACACUAAGUCAUUAUUACAAGGGUCAAAAGAGUGCUCAAAAUCAUUAUAAUAUAGGGGGAAAGAACAAAUAGUUAAUAAGGAAAAACUGGAAAUGUGUGAAGUAUCUGAGCAAUUAGGCGAAUGUAAUAAAAAUAUGUAUCAGAUUACCAAACUGCAAAUUUAACUGAUAUUCAAACAUAAUGAUUGAGGAUUCAAAACAAAUAACACAUGACUGGAAGGUUAAAAGAUUGGAACAAUAGCAACAAAUAUUAGACCUGAAAACAUCAAUUAAAUAACACAUUGGUCAAAAAUAAAAACUCUUACCUAGAUUAUUAGUUAUCUGAAAAUAUAU
rnacentral:lncRNA from 1 species